rnacentral:rRNA from 1 species
UACGAAGGGGGCUAGCGUUGUUCGGAAUUACUGGGCGUAAAGGGCGCGUAGGCGGCGUGUCAAGUCAGGCGUGAAAGCCCCGGGCUCAACCUGGGAACCGCGCUUGAGACUGGCAUGCUCGAGUUCGGGAGAGGAUGGUGGAAUUCCCAGUGUAGAGGUGAAAUUCGUAGAUAUUGGGAAGAACACCGGUGGCGAAGGCGGAUCUCUGGGCCGUAACUGACGCUGAGGAGCGAAAGCAUGGGUAGCGAACAGG